rnacentral:rRNA from 1 species
UGCAGUCGAGCGGCAGCGGGAAAGUAGCUUGCUACUUUUGCCGGCGAGCGGCGGACGGGUGAGUAAUGCCUGGGAAAUUGCCCAGUCGAGGGGGAUAACAGUUGGAAACGACUGCUAAUACCGCAUACGCCCUACGGGGGAAAGCAGGGGACCUUCGGGCCUUGCGCGAUUGGAUAUGCCCAGGUGGGAUUAGCUAGUUGGUGAGGUAAUGGCUCACCAAGGCGACGAUCCCUAGCUGGUCUGAGAGGAUGAUCAGCCACACUGGAACUGAGACACGGUCCAGACUCCUACGGGAGGCAGCAGUGGGGAAUAUUGCACAAUGGGGGAAACCCUGAUGCAGCCAUGCCGCGUGUGUGAAGAAGGCCUUCGGGUUGUAAAGCACUUUCAGCGAGGAGGAAAGGUCAGUAGCUAAUAUCUGCUGACUGUGACGUUACUCGCAGAAGAAGCACCGGCUAACUCCGUGCCAGC